UCUUCUCAAUGCCAAAAUGAUUACUUUCAUGAGAAGAAGAAAAUCAUGGACUUCUCUUAAGCAACUAAUUUUCCUUUUACUCCUAAGCUUUAUCUCAUCUUUAUUACUUACCUAAUUGGGCCCAGGAGUGUACCAGAGCAGCAGGAUCUGGGUCCGAGAGUGAGGAAUGACCAGAGGAUCGGAUGAUUUAAACAGCGGACCAGAUUGAAAGGUUGCAGUGAGUGGUCCACUCAGCAGAGAAGAUAUUGGCUGUCAGCUACCAACAUUAGAAGACCAGCUCAUUGUCAGAGUGAAGAAAAAAAGCAGAAAAAAUUACUGUUGACUCUACCCAUCCUAGUAGUCACCUAUUCACCAAGUUGCCAACAGGAAGAUGCUACAAGACCACGAUCACCAGGACUACACGUCAUCUCAGAAGAUUCUUUCCUGCAGCUAUCAGCUUUUCAGAAAACUCAUUCAGGCUCACAGGAAAACCAGCCAGCACUUUUCAUCUCCCAGGCUGCUUCUUCUGACAAAUGAUGAGUCACCUGUACUUCAAGACACAUGAUGUCUAGGCCCUCACCAUUUGAGAGCAAAAAUUCACCUAAAGUGGUCCUACCAGUUCAAGCAACAAUUGACAAUUGCCACUUUAGAGUCUUCUACAGUAUUGGGAGAUCAUGGAUGCAAAUCAUUCGUUAUCCAUCAUUUCAGGCGUACAUUGUGGUAGGUGUACCAAGGCCUGGGUCAACCAACUCCAAACUGUACAUAGCUUUCUUAUCAUGCAUAUUAGAAUUAUACCAAUCACCUCCAUUACAGUCUCUACCACUUCUUCCAACUUCAGUCAGGGCAUUGAAUAAAACAAUGGUGCUCCCAGGUUAAUAAAUUUUCUGUACUCACAGCUGCUUUCUCAGUCUCCACGAUUCCAUACUUUGCUGGUGAAUGAGAGUUAACUGAUUUGGCAGCUGCUACUGUAGCAGGAGUAGAUUAAUCUGAUUAUUUAUGUGUAACAUAAAUCUGGGAAGCUUCUCAUGUUGUGGGCAGAUGGCAGUGUUGUAACAGUACUGAAAGGACUUGGAAGUUGGGGCAUCUGCUUCUGAAGCACAAGUCUUCACACUUCCUCCUGGGGCGCUGCUUCCGUAGCCUUUCCUGCAUCCACUCUCUCAACUAUGUCCUGACACCAUCUUCAGCAAAUUGAGACUGGCUUUUGUGAUGGAAGGGGAGGGAUCUCAGGAGGAAGCUGAAUGGAUCAUUUACUCUGCACUUUUAGCCAAACGUGCCUGAGACUGUGGAAGUGGCUACCAUGUUGACUUUUCGAAGAUGAGGAGAGUGAAUAUUUUGGUUUUUGGGACAUGUCUUAUGAUUCAGUAAGAAAUGCAGCAAGCACUUCAAUAUAAAAAAAAUCAUUGGUCACAAUUCCACUAAAAACAUCCUAUGUUAUCACACUUACUUAAUUACUUCAUUAAAAUAGGAUAACUGCAAAUGAAA